UGGGGAAUAUUGCACAAUGGGCGAAAGCCUGAUGCAGCAACGCCGCGUGAGGGAAGACGGUCUUCGGAUUGUAAACCUUUGUUAUUGGUGAAGAAACAAAUGACGGUAGCCAAUGAGGAAGCUCCGGCUAACUACGUGCCAGCAGCCGCGGUAAUACGUAGGGAGCGAGCGUUGUCCGGAAUUACUGGGUGUAAAGGGAGCGUAGGCGGGAAGGCAAGUCAGCUGUGAAAUACAUGGGCUUAACCCAUGGACUGCAGUUGAAACUGUUUUUCUUGAGUGAAGUAGAGGUAGGCGGAAUUCCGAGUGUAGCGGUGAAAUGCGUAGAUAUUCGGAGGAACACCAGUGGCGAAGGCGGCCUACUGGGCUUUAACUGACGCUGAGGCUCGAAAGUGUGGGGAGCAAACAGG
rnacentral:rRNA from 1 species